rnacentral:tRNA from 1 species
GCAACGGUGGUCUAACGGUUAGAACGCUGGCCUUGUAAUCCUGGGGUCUCGGGUUCGAUUCCCGGCGGUGCC